AUUGAACGCUGGCGGCAGGCUUAACACAUGCAAGUCGAGCGAGCGGCGGACGGGUGAGUAAUGUAUGGGGAACUGCCUGAUGGAGGGGGAUAACUACUGGAAACGGUAGCUAAUACCGCAUACUAUCGGAUGUGCCCAUAUGGGAUUAGCUAGUAGGUGGGGUAACGGCUCACCUAGGCGACGAUCCCUAGCUGGUCUGAGGGGAUGAUCAGCCACACUGGAACUGAGACACGGUCCAGACUCCUACGGGAGGCAGCAGUGGGGAAUAUUGCACAAUGGGCGCAAGCCUGAUACAGCCAUGCCGCGUGUGUGAAGAAGGCCUUAGGGUUGUAAAGUACUUUCAGCGGGGAGGCGUUACUCGCAGAAGAAGCACCGGCUAACUCCGUGCCAGCAGCCGCGGUAAUAC
rnacentral:rRNA from 1 species